UACGAAGGGGCUAGCGUUGCUCGGAAUCACUGGGCGUAAAGCGCACGUAGGCGGAUCGUUAAGUCAGGGGUGAAAUCCUGGAGCUCAACUCCAGAACUGCCUUUGAUACUGGCGAUCUUGAGUUCGGGAGAGGUGAGUGGAACUGCGAGUGUAGAGGUGAAAUUCGUAGAUAUCGCAAGAACACCAGUGGCGAAGGCGGCUCACUGGCCCGAUACUGACGCUGAGGCACGGAAAGCGUGGGGAGCAAACAGG
rnacentral:rRNA from 1 species